rnacentral:rRNA from 1 species
CUCCUACGGGAGGCAGCAGCUAAGAAUAUUCCGCAAUGGAGGAAACUCUGACGGAGCGACGCCGCGUGGAUGAUGAAGGUCGGAAGAUUGUAAAAUCCUUUUAAGUAUGAUGAAUAACCUGAUCAGGAAAUGGGACAGGGA